CCCUUAACUAUUAAAAGUUUCGUUUUGGUCCCUUAACUUAUUUUUUUGGUCUCGUUUUGGUCCCUUAACUUAUUUUUUGCUUUCAUUUUGGUCCCUUAACUCUAAUACAUUCAUCCUAACAUAAAGGACCAAAGUGGUUGACGGAGGAAGAGUUAAGGGACCAAAACGAAACCAAAAAGUAAGUUAAAGGACCAAAACGAAACUUUUAAUAGUUAAGGGA
rnacentral:pre_miRNA from 1 species